AGAGUUUGAUCCUGGCUCAGAUUGAACGCUGGCGGCAGGCCUAACACAUGCAAGUCGAGCGGUAACAGGGGAAGCUUGCUUCUCGCUGACGAGCGGCGGACGGGUGAGUAAUGUAUGGGGAUCUGCCCGAUAGAGGGGGAUAACUACUGGAAACGGUAGCUAAUACCGCAUAAUCUCUCAGGAGCAAAGCAGGGGAACUUCGGUCCUUGCGCUAUCGGAUGAACCCAUAUGGGAUUAGCUAGUAGGUGGGGUAAUGGCUCACCUAGGCGACGAUCCCUAGCUGGUCUGAGAGGAUGAUCAGCCACACUGGGACUGAGACACGGCCCAGACUCCUACGGGAGGCAGCAGUGGGGAAUAUUGCACAAUGGGCGCAAGCCUGAUGCAGCCAUGCCGCGUGUAUGAAGAAGGCCCUAGGGUUGUAAAGUACUUCCAGUCGGGAGGAAGGCGUUGAUGCUAAUAUCAUCAACGAUUGACGUUACCGACAGAAAAAGCACCGGCUAACUCCGUGCCAGCACCCGCGGUAAUACGGAGGGUGCAAGCGUUAAUCGGAAUUACUGGGCGUAAAGCGCACGCAAGGCGGUUGAUUAAUUAAUGUGAAAUCCCCGGGCUUAACCCUGGGAAUGGAUCUAAAACUGGUCAGCUAGAGUCUUGUAGAGGGGGGUAGAAUUCCAUGUGUAGCGGUGAAAUGCGUAGAGAUGUGGAGGAAUACCGGUGGCGAAGGCGGCCCCCUGGACAAAGACUGACGCUCAGGUGCGAAAGCGUGGGGAGCAAACAGGAUUAGAUACCCUGGUAGUCCACGCUGUAAACGAUGUCGAUUUGAGGGUUGUUCCCUAGAGGAGUGGCUUUCGGAGCUAACGCGUUAAAUCGACCGCCUGGGGAGUACGGCCGCAAGGUUAAAACUCAAAUGAAUUGACGGGGGCCCGCACAAGCGGUGGAGCAUGUGGUUUAAUUCGAUGCAACGCGAAGAACCUUACUACUCUUGACAUCCAGAGAACUUAGCAGAGAUGCUUUGGUGCCUUCGGGAACUCUGAGACAGGUGCUGCAUGGCUGUCGUCAGCUCGUGUUGUGAAAUGUUGGGUUAAGUCCCGCAACGAGCGCAACCCUUAUCCUUUGUUGCCAGCGAUUCGGUCGGGAACUCAAAGGAGACUGCCGGUGAUAAACCGGAGGAAGGUGGGGAUGACGUCAAGUCAUCAUGGCCCUUACGAGUAGGGCUACACACGUGCUACAAUGGCGUAUACAAAGAGAAGCGACCUCGCGAGAGCAAGCGGAACUCAUAAAGUGCGUCGUAGUCCGGAUUGGAGUCUGCAACUCGACUCCAUGAAGUCGGAAUCGCUAGUAAUCGUAGAUCAGAAUGCUACGGUGAAUACGUUCCCGGGCCUUGUACACACCGCCCGUCACACCAUGGGAGUGGGUUGCAAAAGAAGUAGGUAGCUUAACCUUCGGGAGGGCGCUUACCACUUUGUGAUUCAUGACUGGGGUGAAGUCGUAACAAGGUAACCGU
rnacentral:rRNA from 1 species